GCUAGCGGUGGGUUUGGAGCAGACACGCAGUUAUUCUAGUAAUGACCUGAGCACGAAGCGUGGCUUCGGAACGGUCGUUACAGACAGAGAGCGAGCGGAGCCGGGAAGAGAAAAAGGAUUGAAAGGGGUUGUAACUCACAGUUGCUGAAUCAGGCGGAGACUGACGUCGGCAGAGUUUCGGAGCUCCUGACACGAGGAUACUGAUGUCUGAGCGGCGAACAGGAAGGGGAGCCCCAUCUGCUGCCACACAGGGGGAUAAGAAGAAAAUGAAGAAGGAAAGAAAAUUGCACACAGCUUUUCCAAACUCCAUCCCACUUGAGUGUGACUCAGAGAAGCUGGUUUUGACACUGCCAGUGUGCUGCCUCAUGCAGUCGGUGACCUCGUGGGAUCUGGAUGUCCAGCUAGUUGACUCCAUGUUCUCUACCAACUGACUGCGGGUGGAAAUUUAAAGCCCCAGCUUCCCAGGUGGUCAAGUCUCUGCUGAUCAAACAGUUGCUGCAAGAUUCACAGUGUGAUGGAGGUACACUGAACAACAACUGCCAUCCCAUAUCAAACAUAGUUUCUUGCCA
ensembl:lncRNA